GACAGAGGCCUCAAGCGUUAGGCGGAAUCACUGGGCUUAAAGCGUGUGUAGGCGGAUCGUUAAGUGUCUUGUGAAAUCCCAACGGCUCACCCGUGGAACUGCUGGGCAUACUGGCGAUCUUGGGCCAACUAGGGGCAACUGGAACAAGCGGUGGAGCGGUGAAAUGCGUAGAUAAUCGCUUGGAACGCCAAAGGGUGAAAACAGGGUUGCUGGG
rnacentral:rRNA from 1 species